GUGAACUACAGCCACCGCCUGCCUCUGCAGGAGACCCUCUAAUACUAGCAGUUCCAAGAAUGAGCUUGGGACAUCAUUAGCACAGGAUUAUUACUCUUGGCUAGUCUUGGCCAGAGUCUGCAAGGAGGCUGCCCCAAAGAAGAAGAGAGAUUGGAGAAGGGGUGAGUAAAAUGUGAGAGAGGAGCGGAGAGAACUGUUACAAAAAGGAAGCAGAAUUUGAUUUGGGAAAUUCUCAGCCUACACAGAUUGCAAACAAUGCUGAAGUUAAGAGAUCCACUGCCAAGAAAGCAUGCUCUGCAGAUGGCUUGACUAUGUCUGCUUGAUGACCAAAGAAACUAGCUGAUCUGCUAAACUGCUGGCUGAUACAGAGACUUUCUUGAAGUGGGAGCCUUUACCGAGGCAGCGCGCAGACGCAGCAGCCUGAGUGGCACAGCCAGCCUCCUUCCCUGGAAAUACACUCAGCAUCUCAGCAUCUAGCCCCCAUAGCUUGGAACUGUGCCUGUGAGCAUCUGUGCUGCAUCUCGGUUUAUUUUGUGCAUUCGUCAGCAAGUGUCCUAAAGUAUCAGAAAAGGUUAACAUAAAACCAGAUGUAAUUUUAAGUGUUUUGAUUGGGGUGAACGAACUGGGCAUUGUGUGUGAGUUGAACUUGCUUGGGUCCACUAUUUCCAGGCAGAGAGAAAGAAUCUUGAAAGCUGCCAAAGUUACUAUUGCUUCUGUUAGUAGCAAAGUGGUCUCAGUUGGCAUCCAGCAGUGGGUAAACUGGAAAGUCUAUUGCUUGAGCGGACUGAUGGGUGUACAAAGCGAGGUGUUUAAGUUAUCUUAUACUUAAGGAGAAAUCGGUCAGUCUUUCUAAUAAGCUGAAACAGAAAGCACUUGGACCACGGUGAUGAAAGUGUUGCAACAGUAGAAUUUGAAGGUAGUCAUGGAUGGUUUGAUUGGUGAGGGCAGGUUCUUACCUUAAAAGUUACUGGAGAGAGUGCUUCCGCUGUUACUGAAGCUGCCAAAAAGUUCCCGGAACUGAAGAAAAUAAUUACAGGAGGUGGUUAUUCAUAUAAGUGUUUGACCCUGAAGAUGAUGUUGAAGAGGUUUUGGCAUCCCAUGACUAAGAACUGACAGAUGAAGAGCUGAUGCCAUUGCAAGAGGAAAGGAUACUAUUCGAAUACUAAUUGAAACGGAACACAGUAGUGAACAGCCUAAAAGUAAAGCCCUCCAGGAACUCAACAUGAAGCACUUGCAUGAGAUUUUCACUGUAAUUGACAGUGCUGCAAUGAUAGCAGAGAAGGUAUAUGACUUUAAUUUUGAAAGGGCAUGUAGGUUUAGGGCAAGUUUGCAGGAUGUUCUGAGUGCCUACAAACAACUGCAUGAUAGAAAAACGCAUGAGGAUAAGCAGUCAAGCAUACUGUCAUGUUUCAAGCCUUCCACAUCAGCCACAGACGACGAUGAACCUCAACAUUUGACGCUGAGGCAGGCAGUUAUAGAAGAAGGUGAAGACAUUAGUGACCUGCUUGCCCUGACGGAUUCAAACAACGGUGAGAUGUUAAUGGGUGACCCCCUUCCUCUGUCUCCUACAUCCCCAUCUCCACACGCCCCCACCACAGCCUCCCACAUCUCAGCCUAACACACCAUCAUCACCACCUCUCAGCCUUCCAGUGUGUUGGUGGCUGUCCUCUCGAUUCUGCUGUCAUAUAUUCUGUUUUGUGGAUAUACUCAGAUUUGUAGCCAGUCUCCUAUAGAUGGACACUUGUGUUGUUUCCAGCCUUUGGAUAUUAGGAACAAUGCUUUAAUGAAUAAAUGUCAUUUCUUACAUUUGCAGGGGUAACUCUUAGAUUCUCUGAAGAGAAUUGCCGGUUUAAAGAGGAAAUGUUUUUGUAAGUGUGAUGAAUAUUGACAGUUGGCCUUUAAAGAGUGGUCCAUUCUGCACUCCCAUCAGCAGCGUAUGAGAGGUAUUGCUUAUUUUUAGGUGGAUUGGGAGGAACUAGAAAGUGAUUGGGGGGAUGUUUUUUGAUAGACCAGAAAAUUUCUAAGUAAAAUCCUGAACAGUUUGAGAAUAGGAGUUAGAAUGAUAACAUAUAUGUCAAAAAGAAAUUGCUGUGUGAUGGGAAGGGUCAAUUGUAAAAGGCAGUGUUGAAUUCAGACCAGUGCUGUUGUUGUUUUUAACUGAACUGUGCUUUUGAUACAUGUUUCUCGGUAGAUUCAAGGAUGUAGAGAAGAAUCAAAAGAAUCUUAUGUGAUAUUUUAAAAUCUAUGCUGCCUUGCUCCAUGACAGCAGUAACUCAAAAACAGGAGACAUGGGUGAAUGAUUACUCAAGUCUAUUCUCAACAAUUUAUUCUUCUGAAUAGAUGAUUAAGAGUCAUUAAAGAGUGAAGAUUUUACUUUAAUGAACAAUUAUUCAUGUUACCGAGAGUCUUAGGUUAGUGCUAGAAGUAAAGUCUUAUCAAUGUAGCUUGUGAAGGAUUUGUUUUGUAUUUUUGGUUGUCAAUAAAACAUUUUUUCAAGAGGCAUUUGUUUAUGCCUUAAAUAUGCUAUGAUGGUGUAUAAAUAUGAACCUGCAGCGGAGUGAGAAAUAGAAUUUGCAGCAGUUUAUUAUUUCUUUAACCAAACAGAAGGAAGAUGAAGACAGCGACAUUUCACGUUAUUUUAAUUAUUUUACUUUCUUCUUGAAAGUAUUCCGGAAGUUUUGCCAGUUUUUAUUAACAUUCACAGGGAGUGAGUAUAUCAUUUAAAAAUUUACCAGAUUGAAAACUUUAAGGACUUGUAUAAUUUAGAGGAAAAACAGCUAGGAUUCUAAAUAUAUAUAUGAUAUAAAUAAAUUAAUUUAUAGUAUACACACACACAUACAUACAUACACAUAUAUUUAUGUCAUAUUAAAGUGACCUUAUAAAUAAUACCUUUUUCUGUAGGAUAAACUAUGAUCAUGAUUAAAAGCUGAUUUAAUAGAUAAUGCUAGCUUUAAUUUAAAAUAUUUAAGAACAGUUUCAGGUAAAUGUAUUUAAAUGAGUGCUCUACUUAGCAAGGAAGUUAAAAGACCAUUUUUUUUGGUUCAAAAAUUAUUUCAUUCUUAUUAUUUAGUAAAUAUUUCAGACAAGGAUUAUUUUGAGACUAUAUUAAAUGUACAUUUUGUACACGUAUGUAUGAAAUUAGCAUUAUAGCUUCUGUGGGGUUUUUUUGCAUGAAUUGUACCUUCUUUAUGAGUUAUUAUUAAAGUCUUGAAUUCUGAACUUGAGGAAAUCAAAUGGUUGUCAUUAUAAUGCCACCUGUGAAUAAGUUUGAUCAGUGUUUUCUUUCAGGACUGAGGCAAAUAGCAAUGAAGUUCAAUUUUGAGGGUGCCAGAUUCUAAAUAAGUUCUUGGGAAAUAUGCCAGAAAAUGCCCAGAUUGAUAAUGUUUUGUGUAUAAAAUUAAUUAAGCCAUUCUUAUUAGACUGAAAGAUAAAUUUCCAAAUACAGGCAAUUCUGGCUCUUUCAGUACUUAAGACUGUUCCCUAUGGUUAAAGGUAUAUAUGACAUGCCUAUUUUUUUACUUCAUAUUUUUUUUUCUUUAACUUUAAAUACACAGUAGUUGAAUUUUUCCUUAUUAAAUAUACAAUAUACAGUAAGAGAAAAGAGUGUGUAUGAUGCAUGUGCACUUCUGUCUGCGCGCACACACACACACACACACACACACACCAUUUAAAGAUAUGUAAUUCCAACAGCAAUUCUGUGACAGCAAUUGGAUGUCCUAUAAUUUGACACCUAGAGUUAGAGCAGACACAUAGGUCAAGGGCUUAGCCCCACAAGACUGCCUCCACAACAGAUGCCAGCCAGGAGUUUAAAGUAUCCCAAAGCUACCUACACUUCUACCCCACUGACUCCAAAUUCAGGGAUUCCCAUGACUGCUCAUCACCACCCCCAGUUGUGAUAAUUCUCUAGCAUGACUGACUGGACUCAGGAAAGCGCUAUGCUACCUACUCAAGCUUUAUUAUAAAGGGGCAAAGUAUGGGACGCAGGGAGUGCAGAGCUUCCAUGGCCUGCCUGGGUGUGCCACCCUCUCAGCACAUUGGUGUGUUCACCAACCUGGAAGCUUCUUGAGCCUGGUUGUUUCAAGAUUUUUUAUGGGAUUUCAUUGAGUAGGCAUGAUUGAUUAAAUCAUUGGCUAUUUAAUUGAAAAUCUUUAGUCCCUCUCCCCUCCCUGGAAAUUGGGGGAUAGGCCCUGAAAGUUCCAACUCUAUAAUCACCUUGGCUGGUUUUUCUGGUGACCAGCUUCUAUCUUGAUGCUACCUAGCGUCUCCCAACCCACCAAGAGUCACCUCAUUAGCAUAAACUCAAGUGUGGUUGAAAGGGGCUCAGGAAUGACAAAAGACAUUUCUAUCACUCAGCAAACUCAGGAGGUUUCAGGAGCUCUACCAGGGACCAGGGACAAAGAUCAAAUAAUUUUUUUAUUAUACCACAAGAGAAUAAACAAGUGAAAACAUAAUACCCAACGCCUAAUUAAGAAAUAGAAUACCAAGGUACCUUUUUAAGUCUCUUAUGUCUCUUUCUUAAUGUAUUCCCCCUUCUUCUUUCCCAGAGGAAACCACUAUCAUGAAUUUUAUAUUAUUCGUUACCUUGCUUUUCUUUAGAGUUUAGUUAAUUAUAAGGCUACUUAGGUGUAUCCCCAAAAUAUGCACUGUGUCUUUGCUUUUUUUUAACCUUAUUAUGAAUGUAGUUAUUUUGCAUGUAUUCUUUUGUAACUAAGUUUUUUUUCCAUUUAACACUGUUUCUAAGAGUAAUCCAAAUUUAUGCAUGUAGCUAUAGUUCAUUCCUUUUCACUACCAUAUAAUAUUUUGUAUUAGAAAUACAACACACUUGAGUUAUCUGCUAUAUUGCUUACUAUUAUGAACUAAACUUAUCAGCAUUCUCAAACAUGUGCAAAUGUUUCUCUGGCUAAUAUGCCUAGAGGUGGUGUUAUGGACUGAAUUGGGUUUCCUCAAAAUUCAAAUGUUGAAGCCCUUACUCCUAAUACCUCCCAAUAUCUCAGAAUGUGACUGCAUUUGGAGAUAGGGUCUUUAUUAAUAAAGAGGUAAUUAAGUUAAAAUGAGACCUUUGAUGAUGGUGGAGUGGCGAGGGUGCCCUAGUCUGGUCUGAUUGUUGUCCUUAUAAGAAGAGGAGAUUAGGACAUACAGAGAAAUGCUGGACAUGUGCAUGCAGGGAAGAAAGGCCAGUGAAGACACUGCAGGAAGACAUCUGCAAUGCCUGGGAAGAAACCAAACUUUAUUCUUGGACUUCUAGCCUCCAAAACUCAGAAAAUAAAUUGGUGUCUAAGCCACCCAGUCUCUAGUAUUUUUGUUAUGGCAACCCUAGCAAACAAAUACAGUUAGAAUUGCUAGAUGGUAGGAUUAUGCACAAGUUCAGUUAGCAACGCCAAUAUUUUUUUAAAGUACUUGGACUGAUUUACAAUCCUACUGGCAUGUAUGAGAAUUCUUGUUCUACAUCCUCACCCAAACCUGAUAUUGUCAGACUUUACUUUCUCCAGUCUGUUGGAAAGGAAUGGAAUGUUAUUGUCAUAUUAAUUGCAUUUUCCUGAUAAUUAAGGAAAGUUGAAUAUCUUCAUGCGUUUCUUGUUUCUAUAUCAAUAAAAUGCCUGUUAUAUCUUCGUCCACUGUUCUGUUAUGUUAUUUGUUUUUUUAUUACUGAUGGGUAGGAGUUAAUUUUAAUGAAAGUUAAGAUUUAUCCUUUAAUAACCUGUCUUCUUUUAUGUCUUAUUUAAGAAAUUCUUCCCAACCUCCAGAGUAAAAGAAUAUAUUCUCUCAUUUUUUUUCUGAAUGUUUUACAUUUGAAUCCUUAAUGUACCUGGAAUUGAUUUUUUUUUAAGUUUGGUUUGAGGUAGAUAUAUAGUUUCAUUUUUUUCCCAUGCUAAUAACAGUUGUCCUAGUCCUAUUUAUUGAAUAGUCUUUGGCAGCUCUGUUAUACAUCACGUCUGCCUAUGAUGUGGUUCUCUUUCUUGUCUCUAAUUAUGAUUUUUGUCUACCUCUAGACCAGCAUCACAUUGUCUUAAUUCCUAUGGUUUUAUAAUAAAUCUUAAUAUCUGGUA